UAACUCAAGCAAGUUUUAUAAAUAUCGAUGUAUUUACAUCUUUUUUCAAGACUAUGUAGUAUCGCUCCAUGAGGAUUCAAGACGCCUGCCUCCUCCGGUAUUGACAUAAGAGUGCAAGCAAGUAUAAAGGCUGUAGUCACUGUCUAGUGGGGUCACUCCCUCCUAAACCUAGAUCAAGAGCAAGACCCAGAUGAUGGCAGCCUUACAAGUUUUUGAGGAGCUUGAUGUCCUCGAGGAUGCUGCAGGGGAAAGGGUCAGACUGCCGAGAAGGAUUGUGAAGGAUCGCUUGGAUUUAUUCCUGACUUUGACUGAAGAGGAAUUUACAUCCAGGUUCAGGAUAUCAAAGCAAAGCGCAAGGGCCUUACUUGCUGACUUACAUUUACCAGAGGCAGCUGAUGCAAGAGGUUAGUGUACAUAAUAUACCAUUGCGCUAUAAUGAUUUAAACAUGUGGUAAUUCUUUAAAUUCUCUAGUCAUGCACCCAGUCCUUUGGAAACUGUUGUCAUGGCUGAUUUUAAUGUUUCAAACAUAACCUUAAUUUUUGGGGGGUGGUGAAUAGCAAAUAAAUACCAUAUCCCCACGUCAUCAAAUACAUUAAUCAAAAUCAUUAGCAGUUGUUGCCCUACAUAUAGAUGAUAUAUUACAAUGGAAUGCAAGAUAUGGGAUUUAUUCUUGGUUAUCCUUAACAAUUUACUCUCCUUCCAUA